GUAGGGAAUAUUGGGCAAUGGAGGCAACUCUGACCCAGCCAUGCCGCGUGCAGGAUGACGGCCCUCUGGGUUGUAAACUGCUUUUAUACGGGAAGAAAAAAUACUACGUGUAGUAUACUGACGGUACCGUAAGAAUAAGGAUCGGCUAACUCCGUGCCAGCAGCCGCGGUAAUACGGAGGAUCCAAGCGUUGUCCGGAUUUAUUGGGUUUAAAGGGUUAGUAGGCGGAUCUUUAAGUCAGUGGUGAAAGCCUGCAGCUUAACUGUAGAAUUGCCAUUGAAACUGAAGAUCUUGAAUGUGGUUAAAGUAGGCGGAAUGUAUCAUGUAGCGGUGAAAUGCUUAGAUAUGAUACAGAACACCGAUAGCGAAGGCAGCUUGCUGAACCAUUAUUGACGCUGAGGCACGAAAGCGUGGGGAGCGAACAGGAUUAGAUACCCCUGUAGUCC
rnacentral:rRNA from 1 species